UGGCGCAGUGUCGCCUAGUGGUUAGAGUGCCGGGCUGGGACCCAGGAGUCCGGGGUUCAAAUCCUUACUCGCCAG